UAUUAAUCCUAGAUCUCUUUAUUAAAUAUCAGCUUCCAAAAAAAAUAAUAAUUCAAAAUGUGUUAACCAAUUUAGCUACAACAACUUGACUUGGGGACAACACCAUUUCAAGGGUAAGGAUACCCAUUCAGAUGUGGACAAGUGGCAAGUGUUUUAGACAUCCUAAUGUUCUAGCCCAAGUGGGUUCGUAUAAGUAGACGUUUACAUCAAAAUGGGAGGGAAAAAAGAAAAAAGAAAAAAAGCCGUGUGGUGUGGAUUGGCGAGAGAGAAAGUGAGCAAGAAAGAGAGACAGAGAGAGGCCCUUCGCAUCAUCUUGUUUUGAGAUUUGAGAAUUUCGUGGCGGAUUAGUUCGGAAAUGAAGAGACUAGAAGACGAUCGUGGCUCUUCACAAUCCAAGCAGCCGUCUUGUUCUCUGAGUGGAGACACGUAAGUUUCUUUCUCUGUACGCUUUAAUUUCUCUUUUGUUGAUUUUAACUUUUUUAUUUUUAGGUAGAAGUAGAAUUGUUUGAUUCCUUAGGUUCUGUUUGGUUCACUCAAUAAAAAGUUUCUGUUUUUGGUUUGCUAAAAAAUGUUUCAUGGGAGGGUAGUGUUUUGCCCCAAUUUAAAAAAAAAAAAAAAAAAAAAACCUCUAAUGCUUUUUCUUGGUGAUUUUUUGCAUGAUGGAAUUUGCUGAAUUUUUGUGAGGGAAGAGAGAUAUGGGUUAUAUUUCUAUACUAUUGUUUGAAUUUGAAACAUGCUCUUGGAUGGUUUUGUAAUGGUUUCUGCUUGUUGUAAUUGGAUUUUUAUUUUUAGGCAAGUUUUCAUGUGAAAGAUUGGAAUUUUUUUCCUUUUGUGGGUUUUUUUUUUUUUUUUGGUUGAUUACAACAAUGGGGGGAGGGAUUCAAAUCUUAGCUCUCCAAGCAGACAAUGCCACUAAUGAGAAAUUUGAACCAUGGGUAUCAGCAAGUUUUAAACUUUUGUACUCUCAUAGAGAUCACAUUGAUGGUAUGAAUAUAUUCUGUUUAUUGAAUAACUGUGCUAUAGAUGUUCAAUAGUCUGGGGUGAAUUGUUAUGCUAUAUAUAUAUAUAUAUAUAUAUAUAUGUUGAUGUGAAGAGAUGGGCAAUCCCAAGUCCCAGCGAGCGGUCUCGGUGAUACCUCUCGGGAACUAACAAUGAAUGUUGCCAAAACCUAUCUCAUGGAAGUGGAGGAAACGUUUCAAGACCAAAAAGAGAAAUGUGAAGAGUUUCUUAAGCUCAUGGAUGAUUUUGAGGCUCAAAGAACUGAUACUGUUGGCUUCAUUUCCAAAGUGAAGGAAUUAUUUGAAGGGCAUGUUAACUUGAUUUCUGGGUUUAACACCUUUUUGCGAAGGGGAAUGGAAUAACCUUUGAGGAUGAUGAGGCUGCUCCACCAAAGAAACAGCCGUCUGGUUCUUCACCUGAAGACUUGAAGUGAAAGAAACGUUUCAAGACCAAAGAGAAAAAUAUGACAUGUUCCUAAUGGUCAUGAAAGAUUUUAAUGCUCAAAGAAUUGACACUGUCG